rnacentral:rRNA from 1 species
UACGGAGGAUGCAAGCGUUAUCCGGAAUUAUUGGGCGUAAAGCGUCCGCAGAUGGUUUUACCAGUCUAUUGUCAAAGCGCGGGGCUUAACCUCGUACAGGCAGUGGAAACUGUGAGACUAGAGUUCGGUAGGGGUCAGGGGAAUUCCCAGUGUAGCGGUGAAAUGCGUAGAUAUUGGGAAGAACACCAGCGGCGAAAGCGCCUGACUGGGCCUGAACUGACAUUCAUGGACGAAAGCUAGGGGAGCGAAAGGG